AAGAUGUGGGGCACGGAGAUGCGGGACAUGGAGAUGCAGGACACAGAGCUGUGGGGCACGGAGCUGUGGGGCACGGAGCUGUGGGGCACAGUGCUAUGGGGCACGGCGCUGUGGGGCACGGAGCUGUGGGGCACGGACCUGUGGAGCACGGAGCUGUGGGGCACGGCGCUGGGGGGCACGGCGCUGUGGGGCACGGCGCUGUGGGGCACAGAGCUGUGGGGCACGGCGCUGUGGGGCACAGAGCUGUGGGGCACAGCGCUAUGGGGCACGGAGCUGUGGGGCACGGAGCUGUGGGGCACGGAGAUGCGGGACACGGAGAUGCAGGACACAGAGCUGUGGGGUACGGAGCUGUGGGGCACAGUGCUAUGGGGCACAGAGCUGUGGGGCACGGAGCUGUGGGGCACGGAGCUGUGGAGCACGGAGCUGUGGGGCACGGCGCUGGGGGGCACGGAGCUGUGGGGCACGGCGCUGGGGGGCACGGAGCUGUGGGGCACAGCGCUACGGGGCACGGAGCUGUGGGGCACGGAGCUGUGGGGCACAGCGCUAUGGGGCAUGGAGCUAUGGGGCACGGAGAUGCGGGACACAGUGCUGUGGGGCACGGAGCUGUGGGGCACGGAGCUAUGGGGCACGGAGAUGCGGGACACGGCGCUGUGGGGCACAGUGCUAUGGGGCACAGUGCUAUGGGGACAUCACUAUAGACACAGUGCUAUGGGGCACUAUGGGGACAGCGCUAUGGGGCAUUGCUAUGGGGCACAGCGCUAUGGGACAAUGCUAUGGGGCACAGCGCUAUGGGUACAGUGCUAUGGGGCACAGCGCUAUGGGGCACAGUGCUAUGGGGACAUCACUAUAGACACAGCGCUAUGGGGCACAGCGCUAUGGGGCGUUGCUAUGGGGACAGCGCUAUGGGGCACAGCGCUCUGGGGUCCCCACACUGGUGACCCACACGGGGACACGGGGACCUGCGCCACCCCCCCCCCCCACGAGGCCUCGCACGGGGCUUGGUGA
rnacentral:lncRNA from 1 species